GCCCAGUUGAUUCAUGACCUUAAGGUAUGAGCAUUUACUUCUGUAGGUAUUCAUGAAUGGAUGACGUGAUCCACAGUAUGCUUUUUAAGUUGUUGCAGUUUCUUAAUUAUUAUAUCCCAGUUGUGAGGAACUGAUAAGAGCAAAGAACUAGCAGAUGACAGUAAAGGAAAUAAAGAUGGAUGGAAUGAGAAUGUAUUGGAUUAACAAGUUCUGUUACAAUGAGAACUACAAAUUCAUAGCCUAUUCUCACUGCCCAUGGGCCGCAACAGAACCACAACCAGGAAUAUCUUCACUGGCACACUGAAUAACUAACUUCCUCACUGCCCUCUCUAUUCUCACCCAAUACUUAUUUAUAGAUUCCCAUUCCUUGAUUCCCGCUGCUGCCAUUGCUACUCCAGCUGCUUGUGCGCCUUCUCCAGCUCAUUCACUCUCUAGAAAGUACAAGCAGCGAUGCUCCUGGAAUGUUCUGGCUUUCAGCUGCCUGCCUUCCUCUAUGCCUUGUGUGGAUCCUUAAUGGUCUCGGCCCAUGAUGAUUCUCCUGCUGGCCUGUUUUCAUAACAGGAACUAUAUAGUCUUGCUUUCUUAGGGACAGUUUGAGUUAGAUAUCAAUUUGUACAUUUCAUAGCUCGUCUUCCUAAAGUCUCUUACUUCAUUUUGCAGAAUGCGAAUCCAGGGGCUCGAA
rnacentral:misc_RNA from 1 species